rnacentral:rRNA from 1 species
CAGUAGCCACGGGAAUACGGAGGGAGCUAGCGUUAUUCGGAAUUACUGGGCGUAAAGCGCACGUAGGCGGCUUUGUAAGUUAGAGGUGAAAGCCUGGAGCUCAACCCCAGAAUUGCCUUUAAGACUGCAUCGCUUGAAUCCAGGAGAGGUGAGUGGAAUUCCGAGUGUAGAGGUGAAAUUCGUAGAUAUUCGGAAGAACACCAGUGGCGAAGGCGGCUCACUGGACUGGUAUUGACGCUGAGGUGCGAAAGCGUGGGGAGCAAACAGGAUUAGAUACCCCUGUAGUCCCUGUCUCUUAUAA